AAGUCGUAACAAGGUUUCCGUAGGUGAACCUGCGGAAGGAUCAUUAAUGAAUGCAAGGAUGCUCUCUUUAGAGGUCCGACCCAAUCAUUUUCCAACCCUGUGCACACACACUGCUUUUUAUACACCAUUUUAAAACUCGUAAAGUCUAUAAGGAUGUAAAAGUCUCUUCAUUGAGCAUUAAAUAAAACAAAACUUUCAGCAACGGAUCUCUUGGCUCUC
rnacentral:misc_RNA from 1 species